UAUUGAGACUGAUUAUUCCAUUUCUUUUGUUUAUUUAUUUGUUUCCUUGGCAGAAUAAUUUACAGAGAAGUUAAGUGAAACGAGUUGUGCCAGAUGACAGAAUACUCUGGGUCUCAGCGUCCCCCCACCAUCAGCUGAACGGGGUCUCAGUGAAAGGCAAAUCAGAGAUUCAGUUGGUCCCAUGCGUGCCACCAGAAUGACAGCACUGAGAUUGGUAGGAAUUGGCAUUUUAGUUCUGGAUGUUGAAAGAAGCACCAACACUCACGGGGGGGAAAUCAAAGCAACCCAGUCACUGCCCUUCUUUGGUUCCACUGCAGGGCACAUAGAUGUCCAACCAUCUUGUAGUUUGCCAACACCAGUGGUUCUCAAAGUGUGGCCCCUCAAGCAGCGUGUAUCAGCAUCACCUGAAAACUUGUUAGAAAUGCUAAUUCUUAGGCCUCACCCAGAUUCAGAAUCAGAAACUCUGUUGCUAAGGCCCAGCAAUCUGUGUUUUGACAAGCCCUGAAGGAACUCUGAUGAACACCAAGAUUUGAGCCCCUCUGGCCUACACCAUGAAACAGGGGCAAGUUACCUGCCAAGAACUUCAAGAAACGCUUUGAUUUUAAAGGGAAAGCUGUAAAGGAAAUGCAUAGUAUGCAAUUUUAUUUUCAAAUUAAUGAUUCUCAUUCCUAAUGAGCAAAUAAUUUUCAUUCUCCAUGUGAACCACGUGUAUUUAAUUGCCUACAGCCAUACCAGGCCAAAUGUAGCUAAUCUGGCUUGAUCUCUAAAAGUAAGUGAAAUUGGGCCUGUUUAUAAUCUGAAAGAAAGACAGAAACGUCAUCAGAAUGAAGUUGACUGCAGACAUCUUCUUAUACACUCUGGAUGUUAAAUGAGGGGCUUAGAGCCAUGGGUUCGGAUCUCAGCUCCGUCACUUCCUAGCUACGUGAAUUCAAAAUCUUCUACUGUGAGUUUUGUCACCUCAAACAGAGGUGAAAAUAUGUCCCUCUAAGUUUUUUGUGCAGACUAUACAAUAACAUAUGUAAAUUCUUACCACAGAUGUAAGUAAAUAUGGUGAUUAUUAAUUAGUCAAUUAUUUGGAUUUUUUAAAUGUUGAAGAAUUCUUUAAUUUUAGUAGUUCUCAAUCUUGAUACUUUCAUUUUGGAGUUACACUUUAAAAUUUUUAGUUUAACUCGCUUUUAUAUUCUCUUAAAUUUUUUUUUUCGUUAAGUAACUUCUCUAAAAUGGCUGUUUGUUUGACACAGCGAGUUUUUCCUCUAUUUCACUGUGAAUUUGGGGCAAUACUUUUCUUCUGUAAUGAUUUGACAUGUUUUAUGUUUGUCCAAAUAUUCUAGAUUAAAAACACAUUGCAGUUUGCUAAUAGGUAUUGGGAUACUUAAAUUGAACAGACGAAGUGCCUUCUCAAAUGAGCGUCUAGGAUGCUUAUGAGAGUAAAGAUGAUUAAAUUCUAGGAAAGAUUUGAUCGUUGCCAAAUCUAGCAUAGAGAAUAACAAUCAUAUAGGAAAUUGUCUUUCCUGUUUAGGAUCAGAUUUGGUUUGAAAAAUUACUACCAACUUUGUAAACAUUAAAAUAGAAGCAAUAAAGAUGUGAAAUUUCACACAGGGGAUCUACAAUGUUUGGAUAAUUAUAAGCAUAUGGCUACUUUACAUGAGAUCUCUAUUAAAAGUGUAUUUACUAGGGCUCUGGGAAAACAGGGUUCUCAAAUUCAGGGUUUAUUUACAUACACUGAGAAUGUCACAUUUACUAUCAAUUUAUCAUAAUCUAUUUUUACUUCAGAGCUCUAAAUAGUAUUAACAAAAUGAUAACAGUAUCUGUUGUUUAUUGCUGUCUUGUCUAUUAGUUAAUUUACCAGGUUUUACUCAUGAGAGAAAAGGAAAAGAGCAAUUAACUUUCAAUCAAAUGUGUCAAAUCCUUUCUCGAUAAUUUUAAAAUUUCCUAUAUUUUAUGUUAAUAUUUAGGGCAUAUGCCU
rnacentral:lncRNA from 1 species